AUGCCCACUGAGGUUGGCAACUCUCCAACAAGCACUUUCAAGUUCUUGACUGACAGAGCAUGGCAAAAUAUCCAUGGAUGGUCUGAUCGUCCAAUUUCUAGGGCGGGAAAUGAAACUUUGCUAAAGUCCAUCACCCAGGCCAUUCCGACCUUUGUUUCGAGCUGUUUUCAUUUGCCAAUCGCUACUUGCGAAAAGUUUAGGCAGAUUGUGUCUGACCAAUGGUGGGGCAGAGAGAAUGGAAAGAAAAAGAUGCAUUGGAGGUCUUGGGCAUGGCUGUCGACCCCGAAGUCUUUAGGUGGCAUGGGCUUCCGUGACAUGACCCUGUUCAACCAAGCGCUCUUGGGCAAGCAGGGAUGGAGCUUACUAACCGUGCCUAAUUCUCUGUGUGCUCGUGUUCUGAAGGGUAGAUACUUCUCCAACAGCAAUUUCUGGAAUGCUUCGGUUCCACGUACUGCUUCAGCCACUUGGAGGGGCAUUAUUCACGGCCGUGAU
rnacentral:rRNA from 1 species